AUUUUGACCCCCAAUGCUUCAAAGCAAACAGUAUUAAUAGAAGACGUUACUGAAACACGAGAAGCAUCAACGCCUCAGUCAGACUUGGGUAAACAGGCCAACACAUACCUUAGAAUAAAGUAGUGAUGGGGAAGGAAAUCAAUGAGUCACUGUGUAGCAUGAGGUGAAUCUAGCACAGCUCAGUCUCCAGACGUGCACAUCCAGUAAUGAGCAGGGUUGUGGGGGGUUCCUCUCUAAUAAAUAACAUGUGAGCAUAUCUGAAGGUUGUCUCUUAUUUUCUUGUUUCUUCUUUUUCUUGUCUAUUCCUUUUCCUGCGAGGAUGACUGGUACUCGUAAUGUGUUCCAGCUGCAGGCCGCCCUCCCUCCCGCUUUCUUAUCUUUGCAUGAAGUCGAGUUUCCAUUUGCAGUAUUGGCUACCCCACUGUUAGACGCAGGCACAGAAGGGAUGCAAGUUCACAUUCCUCCUUUUGGGUUUGGGUCUGCAGGAGCCAUCUACCACAUUAAAGGGUCAUUCAUCAUGAUUCCUGCACCAAACACUGACGCAGCUUCUAAUAGGCCUCGUAUCGGCUCACCACUCAGGAUAUUUUUAGGAGGAUUUGUCAGUUAAUGUAGGCUCUUUCCGUUUUUCUAAAUAAUUGCCUUUGUUUGAAUUGUUCCUGACUAAUGACUUUGAGCAAUGGCCUACGUUGGAAUGCUAACGACGGGCCAUUUUGCAUUAAGACAUGUACCACCUGGUUUUGACAUGCUGCAGUCGUCCAGAAUUUAAACCACAAUGCGUUUAACAGGCCUGGUGCUGCAGACAUGGAGGGAUGAUGGUGUUGAUUCAUAUCAGAAAACUGGCAACUGGCUGGAAGGAUGCACUUUGAAAGGAAAAGGUUGGAGGAAAGAGUCUCCAAGGUGACACAGCUUGGUGUCAAUAGGAGAAGGUCGCACGGCUUUAGAAGGCUCCAUGGUUUCAGGACAACAGAGAGGAACCUUACAGUGACCCAUGGAGACCACUCCUCGAUCGAACCCACCGGCUGCUCCCCUCCUAUGGAAAAACCAGCAAUGCCACACAGGCACAGGCAGCUCGACAAGGAGGCAUUGUCUGCCUGUAGAAACGCAGCGGCAACCCCUGUGGAGAAACAUGCUCCGACCAAUGAGCUGAUAAGUGAUUUGAACUGUGUCGUUUGUUAGUUUUUGCUGCAGUGUGCACGGCUUCCCUUCGCUGCUCCAGGCGGGGUUAAGGGGGAAGCGGCCUACUGUAAUUCAACAAAUGUGUAUUAGCACAUACAACAUUGGUAGAACGUGUGACUGGUUUGCUUUGAAAAUGUGAUUUAAUCAUCAAACUAACUAUUUCUAAGCUGUAGUGAUGGUAGAUGCUUCCUGUGGCUGUGGAGUAGCUCAGCUUCCAGGAGGGUGUUAGGCCGUUCUGUCUACUUUGUAUUUUAUUAGCUAUUCUGAGUAGAUUUAUUUAAAUACUGAACAUUUCUGUCAUCUUGCGUCACCGGCUUCAUCUUGCAACAGCUACUGUGGUAUUAUACUGUCGGAAAUACUGAAACUGUUUUUUUCUCUCUGCAACGGGAAUCAGUCUAGUUCCUGAGAAUGUAAAGCAGCCCCAAAGCAUGACACUCCCUCCACCAAACCUCACGGGGUGUUGUUGCUAAAGGCACAGGGUUUGGUCAUUGUACAGGGACUAUACUGACAUCUGCUGAUACUGAUCAGUUGGAAUGAGGCUUCUGACAUGUGGUUGGCCGUCAAUGGCUUCCAAGUUCACUCAAUUGAAAUAAAACACCAGUCUUUCUUGUCCA
rnacentral:lncRNA from 1 species